GACGAACGCUGGCGGCGUGCUUAACACAUGCAAGUCGAACGGAAAGGCCCUGCUUUUGUGGGGUGCUCGAGUGGCGAACGGGUGAGUAACACGUGAGUAACCUGCCCUUGACUUUGGGAUAACUUCAGGAAACUGGGGCUAAUACCGGAUAGGAGCUCCUGCUGCAUGGUGGGGGUUGGAAAGUUUCGGCGGUUGGGGAUGGACUCGCGGCUUAUCAGCUUGUUGGUGGGGUAGUGGCUUACCAAGGCUUUGACGGGUAGCCGGCCUGAGAGGGUGACCGGCAAGUGUGGGACUGAGAAACGGCCCAGACUCCUCGGGGAGGAGGCGGGGGGGAUUGUUGAAAAUGGGGGGGAGGCCGGAGGCAGCAAGGCGGGGUGGGGGUUGAGGGCUUUGGGUUGUAAAACCGUUUCCCCCGGGGAAGAAGGGGGGGUAAGGGUAGGGUAUAAAGAGCCCCGGGCUAACUAGGGC
rnacentral:rRNA from 1 species